UACAACGACGGUGAGCGCGCUGCUCGAAUGUUUACACCAUGUGGUUAUAGUGAAACAUGUGACUGGAUCGAGUUUCCUCAGUAUCUAGCCCAACGUAGAUGGUAUGCCACCAAUCAAAUUUUACCUGAUGGACGGAUAAUUGUGGUCGGGGGAAGAAGACAAUUCAACUUUGAAAUUUUCCCUCGACCUGAUUCUCACGGUUAUAGAGGGUCAAGAUUUGAUUUUCUUAGAGAAACUACCGAUGGAAGUAGCGAGAACAACUUGUAUCCGUUCCUUUAUCUCUUACCCGAUGGAAACUUAUUCGUCUUCGCUAACACAAGAUCCAUUGUGUUUGAUUACAAAAUGAACCGGAUCGUGAGAGAGUUUCCAGAGAUUCCAGGUGGUGAUCCAAGAAACUAUCCAAGCAGUGGCUCUUCCAUACUUUUUCCAUUAGAUGAAAGCAAGAAUAUUAUGGAGGCUGAGAUUAUGGUUUGUGGAGGAGCUCCAAAAGACGCUUUUCCACGAGCAAAAAGCCAACAAGGAUUCAGACGUGCCACUUCCACGUGUGGAAGGCUAAGGCUAACUAGUCUGAAUCCAAUCUGGGAAAUGGAGACCAUGCCAUUGCCACGUGUAAUGGGGGACAUGCUGCUCUUACCAACGGGUGAUAUCAUUAUUGUAAACGGUGCAGGAGCUGGUACAGCCGGGUGGGAAAAUGCCCGUGACCCGGUAACCCGACCCGUGAUAUAUCACCCAUUUGAUCGCCGCUUCUCAAUUAUGUCCACAUCAUCGCGUUCUAGGAUGUACCAUUCGUCUGCGGUGUUGUUACCGGACGGUCGGGUUUUAGUCGGUGGUAGUAAUCCUCACAUUUAUUACAACUUCACCAACGUCGAGUAUCCAACGGAAUUAAGCCUCGAGGCUUACUCUCCUCCCUACCUCUCUUUCACGUCUGACUCAAUAAGACCACAUAUAUUGACCAACGACAAAGUAAUCAGUUACAAGAGAUUGUUCAACGUCCAUUUCUAAAAACACCCAUAACAUAUAAAAAGAAAUAUUGUAAGAAAUUAUUUAAUUAUAUUUUAAAUUUAAAAACUACAUAAAUUAUUUUUUUUAUUCUUAAGAAUCAGUAGAAAUUAAAAUUAUAAUUAUAUUAACAUCAUUUAGCAUAUUUCUAUUUAGAAUUCCAUAUAUCGACAUAUAUAUAUAUAUAUUAUUAUUAUUAUUAUUAUAAAAUUGAAUUAUAUAAGACCAAAUAUAAUUUUAAAUACAUAAUUGUAUUACAUAUAAUUAAUAUUGGACACAAUAUUUAGAAUUUUGACGCUUUCCAUGAUAACUUCGUAAGCUUCCGCCAUGGGUUCGAUUCUCCUUGGCCACUCAUAGAAGUUUUAAGUGGCAAGAAAACCCAGAUUUCUAUGGGCCUUUUGGUGAUUAGUUCUUUGGCCUAGAAAGUCUUUGGGAUCACACCAAGGUUAUAAAAAAAAAAAACUUCGUAUUUUCAUAAUUGAUAUUGUAUUAGUUAUGAUGCUAGCGUCGAAAUAGGUAAAUUUUCUGAAUGGUAUUGAUUUAGGAAGUUAUCUCUCUUUCUGAUUUAGUGCACCAAUAUAUUUUAAAGAUACUAACUAUAAUAUCUUUAAUUACGAUUAUUAUCUAUAACAUUUUAAUAUAUGAAUAUUAUGAUUUUUUGGGUUUGUAGGAAUUUGAUUAUGUUUGUCAAAUUAAUUUUGCCGGUUUACGUCUGUCUAUUUAAGUUCGCUGGUUUUAUUAUGUUAUAAACGAUGACUGUCAUACAUAAUAAUAAAAAGUUAGUACUAAAUACCAAAUGUAUUUCUAUUUUAAUAAUUUAGAUAAAAUAAUUUUAUUGAUAUGAUUUACUAUUUACGUAUAUAAUAGUUAGGUAGUUAUGAAUUUUGUGUGCCUAUAAUUAAGGCGAUUAAUCACGCACAUAUGCUGAAUUCCUAUUAUCUACAAUUAAAUUAAAUCUAUAGGAACAAAGAAUUUGGAAUGAUGGUGAAUCAUGCAGAAGAUACUAUAAAAAAUAGUGGUUAUCUAAAUUAUAGGAACUUGUUAGUAAUUAUUUCAUUUACGGAAAUCAAGCUUUAUUGUGAAUAGUAAAUUUUCGUUAGAUCAAUUGAUGAUCUUUAUACCAGCAAUAUAUUGUUUACAUAUACAUGAUUGUGAAUCACAAUUUGUGAUAUCUUGUUUAGCAUGUAUAUACUGUUUAUAUGAUGAUCUCCAUAUGCUUAAGAAAUUGUGAUGAAUAGUUUGGUUUGGUUUGUAAUUGGCAGUUCUAAUAGAAAAAACUACCGGUCGUACGUUUAGUGGAGUAUUGGAUUGGAAUAAUUAUGUGCUGGUUGCUCAACUAUUAAAACUGGAGUAUUGGUUUCGAAUGAUGUAAGUACGUGCUGGUCUAAUUUUUUUAAUACGAUUGUAUAUGGAACGGGAUGGUUUAACGUUUUUUUGGUAUAGAAAAUAAAUGGGUUAAGGAAAGUGUAAAACUACUGUGUUUAAGGCCAGUGGCAUAUAAUUGUAAUUAUUGAGAAAAACUUAGGGUGAAGAUUUAUUUGUACUUCAGUUUUACUAGUUUAGAUAUAAUAACCCCCAAUUAAUAAAAUAAACAUGUAAGUGUAAAAUAAUCUAUGACAAUAUAUAAGUGGACGCACCCCAUCCUCAAGAAAAUAUACUACCAACCUCUAACUUAAAAUUCUCCAACAAGAAAAUAUACUACCAACCUCUAACUUAAAAUUCACCAUCAAUCCAAGAACAGAGGCAACACUAUGAUCAAUUAAUAAAAUAGUUUAGAUAUAAUAACCCCUAAUUAAUAAAAUAAACAUGUAAGUGUAAAAUAAUCUAUGACAAUAUAUAAGUGGACGCAUCCCAUCCUCAAGAAAAUAUACUACCAACCUCUAACUUAAAAUUCUCCAACAAGAAAAUAUACUACCAACCUCUAACUUAAAAUUCACCAUCAAUCCAAGAACACAGGCAUCACUAUGAUCAACUCCGAGAAUGUCGGUAUCAUCCUCACAGCAUUAAUCUUAUGCUUCUCCAUUUCCAUAUUAUCCGAAAGUGAACCCAUCCCGUUUCAGAUGCAACUCGAUCGAUGGGAAGUAUUGCUACCGAGCAUCGGUAUAUCCGCCAUGCACAUGCAACUCCUCCACAACGGCAUGGUCAUAAUGUUUGACCGUACCGAUUUUGGAAUCUCGAAUCUUUCUCUACCAGGAGGCAUGUGUCGAUUUGAUCCUAGUGACACUGCGGUCAAGUUCGAUUGCUCCGCGCAUUCGGUUCUCUACGACAUUGUCUCUAACACAUACCGUGCCUUGAAAGUCCAAACCGAUACAUGGUGUUCUUCUGGUUCGGUUCUUCCCAACGGAACAUUGGUUCAAACUGGUGGAUACAACGACGGUGAGCGCGCUGCUCGAAUGUUUACACCAUGUGGUUAUAGUGAAACAUGUGACUGGAUCGAGUUUCCUCAGUAUCUAGCCCAACGUAGAUGGUAUGCCACCAAUCAAAUUUUACCUGAUGGACGGAUAAUUGUGGUCGGGGGAAGAAGACAAUUCAACUUUGAAAUUUUCCCUCGACCUGAUUCUCACGGUUAUAGAGGGUCAAGAUUUGAUUUUCUUAGAGAAACUACCGAUGGAAGUAGCGAGAACAACUUGUAUCCGUUCCUUUAUCUCUUACCCGAUGGAAACUUAUUCGUCUUCGCU
rnacentral:lncRNA from 1 species